rnacentral:rRNA from 1 species
UACGUAGGUGACCAGCGUUGUCCGGAUUUACUGGGCGUAAAGAGCGCGCAGGCGGUCGUUCAAGUCGAGUGUGAAAGCCCCCGGCUCAACUGGGGAGGGUCACUUGAUACUGAUCGACUCGAAGGCAGGAGAGGGAAGCGGAAUUCCCGGUGUAGUGGUGAAAUGCGUAGAUAUCGGGAGGAACACCAGUGGCGAAGGCGGCUUCCUGGCCUGUUCUUGACGCUGAGGCGCGAAAGCUAAGGGGAGCAAAGCUGGGG